UACGGAGGGUGCAAGCGUUAUCCGGAUUCACUGGGUUUAAAGGGUGCGUAGGUGGGCAGGUAAGUCAGUGGUGAAAUCUCCGGGCUUAACCCGGAAACUGCCAUUGAUACUAUCUGUCUUGAAUACCCUGGAGGUGAGCGGAAUAUGUCAUGUAGCGGUGAAAUGCUUAGAUAUGACAUAGAACACCCAUUGCGAAGGCAGCUCACUACGGGAAUAUUGACUCUGAGGCACGAAAGCGUGGGGAGCAAACAGG
rnacentral:rRNA from 1 species